rnacentral:misc_RNA from 1 species
GAUGAAGAACGCAGCGAAAUGCGAUACUUGGUGUGAAUUGCAGAAUCCCGUGAACCAUCGAGUCUUUGAACGCAAGUUGCGCCCGAAGCCAUUAGGCCGAGGGCACGCCUGCCUGGGCGUCACACGUCGUUGCCCCCCCAUCUACUCCUUCGGGAUUGCGGGGGGCGGAUGAUGGCCUCCCGUGCGCCUCGCCGCGCGGUUGGCAUAAAUGCCAAGUCCUCGGCGACGCACGCCACGACAAUCGGUGGUUGCGAAACCACGGUUGCCCGUCGUGUUCGGUCGUCGCGCAUCGAGGGCUCGAAAAAAUUGCCGGGUUCCGGCUCGGCUUUCAACGCGACCCCAGGUCAGGCGGGGUUACCCGCUGAAUUUAAGCAUAUCAAUAAGCGGAGGA